GAUUAAUAAUAAUUUUUUUCGUAACUGCUGCCUUUUUAAUUAUGAAAAAAUUACAAUUUAUAUGCAAUAAAUCUCAACCACUUGUUACGCCCAAAAAUGACGAUGUCUCAUGUAUUGGUCCGCAUCCUAGAACCAGCUUGCGCACGUUAUCCUGUCCACGGAUGAAAAAUAAGGUUGCGCAGCCCAUUCGCUCAGAUGCUGCCGCAUCUAACGAUGCGAUGCUACCGUUUCUUUCACCCGCAUCGUGCAUCCUGAUGUUGAGUCACAAGAUAUUCAGAUCGAACUAGGACUGACAAUAAAAACUACACUGUAAAUUAGGUUUAAGAUGUUACUUAAUUAACAGAUAGAAAGUAACAUGUAUAUAUGUAUUUGAUAAGUCUUUUAAUCGUUACGAAAAUAACAUCACGAAUGUCGAUGAACACGAUAGUUUGUCUAUUUCUUUUGAGAUAUAGCUUAUAUUUAGACGAUCCACCAAUGUUAAUCUAAAUUUAGCAAAAGAAUUUGAAUUUUUCAAUGUGUAUUGUAUUCGUAUAUCUCGAACAUUGUAUGACUAUAACUCUUCGACAGAAUACCAAAUAAGAUAGGGAAUAAAAUGAUAGAAUGAA